rnacentral:rRNA from 1 species
GCUUUUUGUUAAUUAAAGGUAUGUUCUGCCCAAUGAUUUUUAAUGGCCGCGGUAAUUUGACCGUGCAAAGGUAGCAUAAUCAUUUGCCUCGUAAUUGGGGGCUGGAAUGAAUGAAUAAACAAGGGUUUUUCUUUAUUUUUAAGAAAAAAAAAAAUUUCUUUUUUAGUGAAGAAGCUAAAAUAAGAAAAGGGACAAGAAGACCCUUUUGAGCUUUAUUGGCUUUUGUUUUAUAAGAGGUUAAUUUGGUUGGGGCGACCGAGGAGUAUCCUCCUUAAUAAUAUUGAUCCGUARAUUGCGAUUAAAAGAACAAGUUACCAAAGGGAUAACAGCGUAAUCUUUUUUGAGAGUUCUUAUUAAAAAUUGGGAUUGCGACCUCGAUGUUGACUUAUAAUUUCCUUUUGGUGAAGCAGCUAAUAAGGUAGGUCUGUUCGACCUUUAAAAUUUU